GUUUUCACAGCUUGAAUAUGAAGAACUUUAUAAUAUUUUUAAAAAAAUAUAACAGAAUACAUAUCCUUCUCUCUCUCUUGUAAAGGAAAGAGAAAAACAAAUAAACCAAAACCAUUGCUAAAAUGUAAACAAGAGAGAACACAACAGUUUCAUCGGAGAAUCGCGUUUAUUGAUUAUUGUUGUAAGCUUAUAACACAGUAGAUAAUGUUGAUGGAAGAAAUGUGCAGCACCAGCAAGAGUUUGCUGAAGUAACAAGGACUGUAUGACCAACGGCCAACGCUGUUAAACUGAUCGUGUACUUUGAUUUUUCACUGAUGGCAAUAUGCAGAAUCUUCAUACUUUCCAUCCCACCUGUCUUGUUCAUUUUCUGAAACCUUAAGCUCGGAAUCUUCUUCAAAUGGCUCAAAUACAAGGUUGACUUGCUCGUCCUCAACGUUUUCAAGAGUCAAAGGGUCCCAUUUCGGAGAAUUGUCCUUGUCAAUGGUAAGAGCUCUGAUACCCUCAUAGACAUCACCAGAUAUUCUAGCUCUCAGUGUAUUUAUUGUAAUUCUGAAUUCUUUCUUCAGACAUUCAGAUAAGGUUUGC
rnacentral:misc_RNA from 1 species